rnacentral:rRNA from 1 species
GGGUUGUGAGGUUAAGCGACUAAGCGUACACGGUGGAUGCCCUGGCAGUCAGAGGCGAUGAAGGGCGUGCUAAUCUGCGAUAAGCGCCGGUAAGGUGAUAUGAACCGUUAUAACCGGCGAUACCCGAAUGGGGAAACCCAGUGUGACUCGUCACACUAUCAUUAACUGAAUCCAUAGGUUAAUGAGGCGAACCGGGGGAACUGAAACAUCUAAGUACCCCGAGGAAAAGAAAUCAACCGAGAUUCCCCCAGUAGCGGCGAGCGAACGGGGAGGAGCCCAGAGCCUGAAUCAGCAUGUGUGUUAGUGGAAGCGUCUGGAAAGGCGCGCGAUACAGGGUGACAGCCCCGUACACAAAAGCGCAUGUGCUGUGAGCUCGAUGAGUAGGGCGGGACACGUGGUAUCCUGUCUGAAUAUGGGGGGACCAUCCUCCAAGGCUAAAUACUCCUGACUGACCGAUAGUGAACCAGUACCGUGAGGGAAAGGCGAAAAGAACCCCGGCGAGGGGAGUGAAAAAGAACCUGAAACCGUGUACGUACAAGCAGUGGGAGCCCCACCACCAAAGCAUUUGCUGUACCGCGU